rnacentral:rRNA from 1 species
UACGUAGGUGGCAAGCGUUGUCCGGAUUUACUGGGUGUAAAGGGCGUGCAGCCGGGCUGACAAGUCAGAUGUGAAAUCCCGCGGCUCAACCGCGGAACUGCAUUUGAAACUGUCAGUCUUGAGUACCGGAGAGGUCAUCCGAAUUCCUUGUGUAGCGGUGAAAUGCGUAGAUAUAAGGAAGAACACCAGUGGCGAAGGCGGAUGACUGGACGGCAACUGACGGUGAGGCGCGAAAGCGUGGGGAGCAAACAGG